AACGAACGCUGGCGGCAUGCCUAACACAUGCAAGUCGAACGAGACCUUCGGGUCUAGUGGCGCACGGGUGCGUAACGCGUGGGAAUCUACCCUUGGGUUCGGAAUAACAGUUAGAAAUGACUGCUAAUACCGGAUGAUGACGUAAGUCCAAAGAUUUAUCGCCCAAGGAUGAGCCCGCGUAAGAUUAGCUUGUUGGUGGGGUAAUGGCCUACCAAGGCGACGAACUUUAGCUGGUCUGAGAGGAUGAUCAGCCACACUGGGACUGAGACACGGCCCAGAAUCCUACGGGAGGCAGCAGUGGGGAAUAUUGGACAAUGGGCGAAAGCCUGAUCCAGCAAUGCCGCGUGAGUGAUGAAGGCCUUAGGGUUGUAAAGCUCUUUUACCAGGGAUGAUAAUGACAGUACCUGGAGAAUAAGCUCCGGCUAACUCCUUGCCAGCAGCCGCAGUAA
rnacentral:rRNA from 1 species